GGUAACAUCAGGACAGUCUUGCUGUUCUAGGAUAAAAAGUUUCCCAUCCAAUUCCUGGAAAAUCCCACACUGAAGUUUCCCAGACAUGCAGGAUACGUCCUCUGACAUCCACACUCAGAACCAGGUCAUUCUUCUCAUCGGGCUCCUUUGCACCACCUGGAUUUGCUGAGGAAUAAUUUUGCAAGGAAAAAAAAUGGGGAUCAGAGAACAGGUCACAGAAAGGAGCUGAACUGGUGAC